rnacentral:rRNA from 1 species
CACGUAGGGUGCGAGCGUUGUCCGGAAUUAUUGGGCGUAAAGAGCUCGUAGGCGGUGUGUCGCGUCGGCCGUGAAAACCUGUGGCUUAACUAUGGGCUUGCGGUCGAUACGGGCAUCACUGGAGUUCGGCAGGGGAGACUGGAAUCCUGGUGUAGCGGUGAAAUGCGCAGAUAUCAGGAGGAACACCGGUGGCGAAGGCGGGUCUCUGGGCCGAUGACUGACGCUGAGGAGCGAAAGCGUGGGGAGCGAACAGG